AGUAGUUUGAUCAGUGGCUACGAGGACGAACGCUGGCGGUGUGCUUCACACAUGCAAGUCGAACGAGGUAGCAAUACCUAGUGGCGGACGGGUGAGUAACGCGUGGGAAUCUGCCUUUAGAUGGGGGAUAACGGGUCGAAAGACUCGCUAAUACCGCAUAUGACGAAAGUUGAAAGGAGUAAUCCGUCUAAAGAUGAGCCCGCGUCCGAUUAGCUAGUUGGUAGAGUAAAAGCCUACCAAGGCGACGAUCGGUAGCUGGUCUGAGAGGAUGAUCAGCCACAAUGGGACUGAGACACGGCCCAUACUCCUACGGGAGGCAGCAGUGGGAAUUUUACGCAAUGGGCGAAAGCCUGACGUAGCGACACCGCGUGAGCGAAGAAGCCCCUUGGGGUGUAAAGCUCUGUCAGCUGGAACGAAAAAAUGACGGUACCAGCAGAGGAAGCAUCGGCUAACUACGUG
rnacentral:rRNA from 1 species